rnacentral:rRNA from 1 species
CCUACGGGAGACAGCAGUAGGGAAUAUUGCUCAAUGGGGGAAACCCUGAAGCAGCAACGCCGCGUGGAGGAUGAAGGUUCUCGGAUUGUAAACUCCUUUUGUUAGAGAAGAUAAUGACGGUAUGUAACGAAUAAGCACCGGCUAACAACGUGCCAGCAGCCGCGGUAAGACGGAGGGUGCAAGCGGUACUCGGAAUCACUGGGCGUAAAGAGCGCGUAGGCGGGAUAGAAAGUCAGAUGUGAAAUCCUAUGGCUUAACCAUAGAACUGCAUUUGAAACUGUUAUUCUAGAGUAUGGGAGAGGUAGGUGGAAUGCGUGGUGUAGGGGUAAAAUCCGUAGAGAUCAAGAGGAAUACUCAUUGCGAAGGCGACCUGCUAGAACAUAACUGACGCUGAUGCGCGAAAGCGUGGGGAGCAAACAGGAUUAGAUACCCCAGUAGUC